rnacentral:tRNA from 2 species
UAGCUCAGUUGGUAGAGCAUCUGACUUUUAAUCAGAGGGUCGAAGGUUCGAGUCCUU